CCGAACGCAAAGCAGAUUGAGCCAUGCAGAUUGUGAGAGUAAGAAAAAAGCAACACUAUCUGAGUUGGUGAUCUGCAGUUGCAACAAAAACAAACACUGUGUUCUGUAAUAAAAAAAGGAAUAAAAAGCGUAAACAGAUAAAUAAACAAAAUAAUUAAGAAACUUUAUAUCGAUAUACAUAUUUCAUCUUAAAAAGCUAUAUGGUUCAAUUAAUAAAAAAAAGUAGUUGAGAAAACUAACCCUGAAAAUUUUUUCACAACAAAUGAAAAUAUUUAACAAAUAUAUAAUCUUACCAUUUACCAGACUCGAUCUCAAUGGAUGAGAUUUUUUGAUAUUAAACAAAAGAAGAGGCGGCUCUGAUACAUCCGCAAGCUCCGGCGUACACUCAAUCUCUCUCGAAUGGUAGAACGAUGGUAGAGCAGUAGGUGGCUUUGGGUUGCCUUUGAAUUC
rnacentral:lncRNA from 1 species